CCUACGGGGGGCAGCAGUGAGGAAUAUUGGUCAAUGGGCGAGAGCCUGAACCAGCCAAGUCGCGUGAAGGAUGAAGGAUCUAUGGUUUGUAAACUUCUUUUAUAUGGGAAUAAAGUGAGGAACGUGUUCCUUUUUGUAUGUACCAUAUGAAUAAGCAUCGGCUAACUCCGUGCCAGCAGCCGCGGUAAUACGGAGGAUGCGAGCGUUAUCCGGAUUUAUUGGGUUUAAAGGGUGCGUAGGCGGUCCGGAAAGUCAGCGGUAAAAGCCCGGGGCUCAACCCCGGCGAGCCGUUGAAACUGUCGGACUAGAGACGGCGAGAAGUACGCGGAAUGCGCGGUGUAGCGGUGAAAUGCAUAGAUAUCGCGCAGAACUCCGAUUGCGAAGGCAGCGUACCGGCGCCGGACUGACGCUGAGGCACGAAAGCGUGGGUAUCGAACAGGAUUAGAUACCCGAGUAGUC
rnacentral:rRNA from 1 species